AGCCCUUGACAUGUCCAGGACCGGUCGCAGAGAUGUGACCUUCUCUUCGGAGCCUGGAGCACAGGUGCUGCAUGGCUGUCGUCAGCUCGUGUCGUGAGAUGUUGGGUUAAGUCCCGCAACGAGCGCAACCCCCGUCCUUAGUUGCUACCAUUUAGUUGAGCACUCUAAGGAGACUGCCGGUGAUAAGCCGCGAGGAAGGUGGGGAUGACGUCAAGUCCUCAU
rnacentral:rRNA from 1 species